AAGUACUAGAGGUCCCGCCUGCCCUGUGACCACAAAGUUUAACGGCCGCGGUAUCCUGACCGUGCGAAGGUAGCGUAAUCAUUUGUCUUUUAAAUAGAGACCUGUAUGAAUGGCAUAACGAGGGUUUAACUGUCUCCUUCCCCUAGUCAAUGAAAUUGAUCUGCCCGUGCAGAAGCGGACAUAAACACAUAAGACGAGAAGACCCUAUGGAGCUUUAGACAAAAGAUCAAACAUGUAAAGAAACCAAACCAACCAAAAGGAACACGAAGGCCACAAAACCCAACGUAAACUGAUCUAAAUGUCUUCGGUUGGGGCGACCAUGGGGGAAAGAAAAGCCCCCACGAGGAACAGGGACAACCCCUAAACUAAGAGAGACACCUCUAAGCAACAGAAAAUCUGACCAAAAUGACCCAGGAUACUAAUCCUGAUCAACGAACCAAGUUACCCUAGGGAUAACAGCGCAAUCCUUUCCCAGAGUCC
rnacentral:rRNA from 1 species